CCUACGGGAGGCAGCAGUGGGGAAUAUUGCACAAUGGGGGAAACCCUGAUGCAGCGACGCCGCGUGAGUGAAGAAGUAUUUCGGUAUGUAAAGCUCUAUCAGCAGGGAAGAAAAUGACGGUACCUGAUUAAGAAGCUCCGGCUAACUACGGGCCAGCAGCCGCGGGAAUACGUAGGGGGCAAGCGUUAUCCGGAUUUACUGGGUGUAAAGGGAGCGUAGACGGCAGCACAAGUCUGGAGUGAAAUGCCGGGGCUUAACCCCGGAACUGCUUGGGAAACUGUGCAGCUAGAGUGCAGGAGAGGUAAGUGGAAUUCCUGGUGUAGCGGUGAAAUGCGUAGAUAUUAGGAGGAACACCAGUGGCGAAGGCAGCUUACUGGACUGUAACUGACGUUGAGGCUCGAAAGCGUGGGGAGCAAACAGGAUUAGAUACCCCAGUAGUC
rnacentral:rRNA from 1 species